rnacentral:rRNA from 1 species
AGCAGCCGCGGUAAUUCCAGCUCCAAUAGCGUAUAUUAAAGUUGUUGCAGUUAAAAAGCUCGUAGUUGAAUUUCGGGAUCAAUACGUCGGUCGUGCUUAGGUACGUACUGGCGUAAUUGAUUUCUCCCUUCUGACGAACCAUGAUGUCAUUAACUUGGUGUCAUGGGAAAUCAGGACUGUUACUUUGAAAAAAAUUAGAGUGUUUAAAGCAGGCUCACGCUUGAAUACAUUAGCAUGGAAUAAUGAAAUAGGACGUUCGAUCCUAUUUUGUUGGUUUUUAGGAUCAACGUAAUGAUUAAUAGGGAUAGUUGGGGGCAUUAGUAUUCAAUUGUCAGAGGUGAAAUUCUUGGAUUUAUUGAAGACUAACUACUGCGAAAGCAUUUGCCAAGGAUGUUUUCAUUAAUCAAGAACGAAAGUUAGGGGAUCGAAGACGAUCAGAUACCGUCGUAGUCUUAACCAUAAACUAUGCCGACUAGGGAUCGGAUGAUGUUAAUUUUUAAUGUACUCAUUCGGCGCCUUA